ACCAGGUAGCAUUCCUCACCGACGUCGAUCGGCGUGUUGCAAUCCGUAAGGAAUCCAGCACAACCGACACGAACGUCGUUCGCACGUAGCGUUGAACGCUUUGUUCCGAGGGGCAAAUAGAGGCCGAGGCCUCGUGCCCACAACAUGUUCCGCAUCCGAGAUUUCGAGCAUUGCGCCUUGGGUGGCUACACGAGCGCAUGCGAACACGCACACGAAUGCCAACCACGACGCAUGCUACGAGUUCCAAUCCGCACCGCAACACCGGUGGGUGACGCGGAGAAGAAUGGAAAAGGACGAUUUUGCCGACGUAAUGCCUUACAGAUAGGUAUCAAGCACAGGAGGCCGCAAUCGAACAGGGCUCGGUAGCCCUUGUGUCGAUGAUUGAAGAGACGCGGUUGGGAU
rnacentral:misc_RNA from 1 species